UACGUAGGGUGCGAGCGUUAAUCGGAAUUACUGGGCGUAAAGCGUGCGCAGGCGGUUUUGUAAGCCAGGUGUGAAAUCCCCGGGCUCAACCUGGGAAUGGCAUUUGGGACUGCAAGGCUGGAGUGCGGCAGAGGAGACUGGAAUUCCUGGUGUAGCAGUGAAAUGCGUAGAUAUCAGGAGGAAUACCGAUGGCGAAGGCAGGUCUCUGGGCUGACAC
rnacentral:rRNA from 1 species